rnacentral:rRNA from 1 species
GAUGAACGCUGGCGGCGUGCCUAAUACAUGCAAGUAGAACGCUGAAGGAGGAGCUUGCUCUUCUGGAUGAGUUGCGAACGGGUGAGUAACGCGUAGGUAACCUGCCUGGUAGCGGGGGAUAACUCUUGGAAACGAUAGCUAAUACCGCAUGACAACAGUUAUUGCAUGAUAACCGUUUAAAAGGGGCAACUGCUCCACUACCAGAUGGACCUGCGUUGUAUUAGCUAGUUGGUGAGGUAACGGCUCACCAAGGCGACGAUACAUAGCCGACCUGAGAGGGUGGUCGGCCACACUGGGACUGAGACACGGCCCAGACUCCUACGGGAGGCAGCAGUAGGGAAUCUUCGGCAAUGGACGGAAGUCUGACCGAGCAACGCCGCGUGAGUGAAGAAGGGUUUCGGAUCGUAAAGCUCUGUUGUAAGAGAAGAACGAGUGUGAGAGUGGAAAGUUCACACUGUGACGGUAUCUUACCAGAAAGGGACGGCUAACUACGUG